UUGAUUAAAGGAAAAAGUUCAGUUUUAGGGUUUAAAACCCUAAUGCUGACUGAAUGGGAAAAGUUCAGUUUAGGGUUUAAAACCCUAAUGCUGACUGAAUGGAAAAGUUCAGUUUAGGGUUUAAAACCGUAAUGCUGAUUAAAGGAAAAAGUUCAGUUUAGGGUUUAAAACCCUAAUGCUGACUAAAGGGAGGAGUUCAGUUUAGGGUUUAAAACCCUAAUGUUGAUUAAAGGAAAAAGUUCAGUUUAGGGUUUAAAACCCUAAUGCUGACUGAAUGGAAAAAGUUCAGUUUAGGGUCUAAAACCCUAAUGCUAAUUAAAGGAAAAGUUCAGUUUAGGGUUUAAAACC
rnacentral:lncRNA from 1 species